CAUCAUAACUAAAGAAAAUCAACAGCUUAAUAAGAGCAGAAAAAACAAAUGAUUGGGGUUGGUGGAAGAUAGUGUGAUUGUAAAGAGAAAUAAAAACUUUUGAGAAUGAGGAAUGAACUCCUUGCUACACAUGGGUGGCAUAGGUAUGGGGUUUUUUUCCCUCUUUAUGUUGCUCCCUAUGGACAAUUAAUUAACAAUAAACUAAUUU
rnacentral:lncRNA from 1 species